UACGAAGGGGGCUAGCGUUGCUCGGAAUUACUGGGCGUAAAGGGUGUGUAGGCGGACUUUUAAGUCAGCGGUGAAAUCUCCGGGCUCAACCCGGAAACUGCCAUUGAUACUAUUAGUCUUGAAUAUUGUUGAGGUAGGCGGAACGGGUCAUGUAGCGGUGAAAUGCAUAGAUAUGACCCGGAACACCGAUUGCGAAGGCAGCCUACUAAGCAAUUAUUGACGCUGAGGCACGAAAGCGUGGGGAUCAAACAGG
rnacentral:rRNA from 1 species